ensembl:lncRNA
UGCUCCAAAAGCAGGGGACAAUUUGUGGAUGUAAGAGACUAUUUCCAAGGGUUCCGUCUUCUAAAUAAGAGAAAACCCAGAUGCCAGACAGCCUCCCGACAGCAGAAGGCGCGUGUCACCAUCGCUAUGUGGACUGAUGCAGUCAAAGCCCUGCAAGAUGACCUGGCAUGUGUCAGGCACAGCAGAGGGAGAGGAACUUCAGAGUUCACACUCCUGGCUCCUGAGAAGACCUUGCGUGUAUGAACUCAGGUCCCAGACGCCUCAGGACUCUCCGGGUAAAUCAGAAAUAACACCACCAACCAACCACACAGAUCAUUAACACAUCACUAAGCUUCAAAUGAAGCCUAGAAAGUACCGGAACACACACUUCUUUUUCCAGGGACCUUCUUGGGCCACGCCUUUCUCAACCCAGGCUAUGCCCACUGAUGAUUUCUCUACAAGCGCUGACCAUUGGAGCUUGGUUUACAGGAGGGUCACACAAUAUGCGAGCAUUAGCAAGAAAUGGAUGACUGGAAACUUACAGCUUCGCUCAAGCACAUUCAUCCAGUCAACAAACAUUCAUCCAACAUCUAUACGUACUGGGCACUAUUCUAGAUGCCAAGGAUCCAGCAACAUCAAAACAGAAGUUUUGACUAUCAUGGAGCUUACAUUGUAAUGUGGAAAGAUGGACAAUAAACAUUAUAAAUAAGUAAGUUAGAUAGAAGAUUAAACACCUACGGAAAAAUAGAUCAAGAUGUGAGACAAGGAGUGCUGGUAUAUUGGUGGGAAUUGAAAUUCUCAAUAGUAGGUUCAAGCUUGGCUUCACUGUGAAGGUGACAUUUGGGCAAACACUUGAAGGAGGUGAGAGACUGAGCCACAAGGAUACCUUAAGAGAGCAAUCCAGAUAGAGGAAAGAGUCACUGCAGAGACCCAGGGUGGAAACACAGCUGGCGUGUUGGAAGAAGUGAAAAACGAAAGGCAACUCAAGAGUUUUGGCUUCUGGAACAAGAAUAAAAGAUCUUCUACCAAAUAUUGAGUUCCUCGGAAAGAAUCCUUUAAGACAAUUUUGUGUUGGUGAAAAGUGUCACAUCAGCAGCCGCAAAGUCUGAGUUUCUGUUUACUCAUCUAGCAGAGUGAAAGGCAGUGUGCAGGAGGGUGAGCAUGGACCCCAGAGCCAGAUCCGAACUCCACCCUUAUCAGCUCUGUGAUCUUUGGCUAUGGAACCUGAAGACAUUCAGGUUGUGUCCUGAGCCAUGUCAUGGAUGGGUGUCAGGCUGUGUCCCGGAUGUCAUGUCACGGAUGGGUGGCUGCAAAUCAGUCAGCCCUUUCUGAAAGCUUUUUUCUGCCCUUGGUGGAGGAAAACGAACAAGAACUUUGGAGGCGUGCAUAUGCGUGUGCACUGAAGGGAGGAUGCUGAGCUAAGAAUACAGAGAAGAAAUGAAAAAAACAAAAAGAACAAAGAUUUAUUUGCUAACUAAGAGGGCAUUCGCAAAUAUUUCUCCCACAUCCCAUCCAGAAAGAUUUCAAGGCCAGGAAAAUAAAAGCACCUGUCGGAUAUCAACUGAUUAAAGCUUCAGGGAAACCAGCAAAUGUCUUCAUUUUCCUAUUCAAGGACUCUUUUUAUAAUCAAACGCAAGAGGAGAAAGUUUUAAAUUUCCACUUUGGAGGAGUCUUGAAAUCCUAUAAACAGAAAUAUAAGCACCAUAAUUUUCUAAAUGUUAAGAGGCCAGAUCCUGUCAGAUGGUCAACUGAUAUUUUGCAGGCAAAAAGAAGGCACACUCAAGAAUAGGUCCAUCCUCUUGGGCUCCUGGGAGACAGUUGGGAAAUUGCUGUCUCUAUCAUGUGACGAUUAUAAGCUCUCUGAAAAUGGAGAUCUGCACGAAGGUGGGAAUGAGCAAGCGAAGGUCCUAAAACCCAGAAAGGCCUGGCCUGACUGUGAAAGGGUCGUGCUGGUAACGCAGGGAGCACCCUUUGGUUCCUGGUGAAUGAAUGAAUGAUGUAGGAUGAGGAGAAAACAGAAACAAGCUCUUCUACCCACUUCCAUUUCCAGCACGAGCUACUAUAGAUAACAAAUCACAGCUUUGACUGUUCCUGAAUUCCAGAAAUACAUCAUCAAAGGAGUGCACAUGGACAUCGAGAACCCCGACUCUGCAUUUUAUUAUAAUUUUUGUGAAUAUUAGUCAUAAAUUUACCAGUCAGUUUGAUUCAACCCUCAAAUUGAUUAAAUAACUAUGAAGCAUACAUAAUCACAUAAAACCAAGAUCAUCAAUAGCUAGAAUUUAUCCCAAUAGAUGAGGAACAAAUUUCUAAGAAGAUUCAAAGUCUGGAUGCUACGUCACUAUGGUGACAAGACAGUACUGCAAUCAAAUGUGAUAGAAGCUCUCACACUGACCAAGCUACUCGAUCUUCUAAGGCAAAACCCCAGUAAAUUAUUAUUUAUAGGCAUUCCCAUCAUAAUUAUUCUUUUAACUUUUAAAAUUAAAUUACGUUAUUACCUUAUAGCUUUGAAGACACAUACAUGUUGCCACUAGUAUCUAUUAUGGUCAUCGCUUCAUUAGAAAGUGACCCAGUCAACAUUUGGUUCUAACCUAUUUAACUGCCUCAUCUAUUUAGUUGCCCCAUUAGGGGCUUUUAGUCCAUUACAAGAAUUAUUUAAACUAUCACUGAUUUUGGCUCAAGGAGGAACAAAAUAAGAAAUAUAAUUUAUUGUUUUGAUAGAUUCAAAAGAGUUUUGAUGUUCUAACAGGCUCAAGUUAAGACAGCAGCCAUGAGCUAAAGAAAUAAGCCAUUCAGACAUAAACAGAAGAAUAUGAGUAAUUAUCUCUGUACCUCCUAUUCUCUCAGCCUCUUGCCCUUCCCCUUGGUUGGAUAACUCUUCCUUACCCAUCAAGACUCAGGUUAAAGGCGCUUCGUCCUGAAUUAGGUCCCCUUGCUUUGUGCUCCCUCUACUCUCCCUGUCAUAACACUCAUCAUGCUUGGUUGUAAUUACAUUUUUAAUGUCCAAUCUUGCCGCUAGAUUGUAAGAUCCCUGAGGACAGGGUUCAUGCUUGUCUUUUUACCACUCUGUACCUAACACCCAGCACAGUGCCUGACCCACAGGAGGUGUGCAAUACAUGUUUGCUAAAUUGAAAUGAAAUUGAAGUUUAUUUGAUCACUACCAAUGAUUUGUAGUUGGACCGUAGUGAAACCUGUUAGUUUUACCUCCUACUAUGUGUAGGAAAUUCAUACCUAUAGGCAAAGAAUCACCUACAAAGACUUUCAGAACAGCAUUAUAAUAGAUAAGAAUAGG